GGCUCAGGACGAACGCUGGCGGCGUGCUUAACACAUGCAAGUCGAACGAUGAAGCCCUUCGGGGUGGAUUAGUGGCGAACGGGUGAGUAACACGUGGGCAAUCUGCCCUUCACUCUGGGACAAGCCCUGGAAACGGGGUCUAAUACCGGAUAACACUUCCGUCCUCCUGGACGGUGGUUAAAAGCUCCGGCGGUGAAGGAUGAGCCCGCGGCCUAUCAGCUUGUUGGUGAGGUAAUGGCUCACCAAGGCGACGACGGGUAGCCGGCCUGAGAGGGCGACCGGCCACACUGGGACUGAGACACGGCCCAGACUCCUACGGGAGGCAGCAGUGGGGAAUAUUGCACAAUGGGCGAAAGCCUGAUGCAGCGACGCCGCGUGAGGGAUGACGGCCUUCGGGUUGUAAACCUCUUUCAGCAGGGAAGAAGCGAAAGUGACGGUACCUGCAGAAGAAGCGCCGGCUAACUACGUGCCAGCAGCCGCGGUAAUACGUAGGGCGCAAGCGUUGUCCGGAAUUAUUGGGCGUAAAGAGCUCGUAGGCGGCUUGUCACGUCGGUUGUGAAAGCCCGGGGCUUAACCCCGGGUCUGCAGUCGAUACGGGCAGGCUAGAGUGUGGUAGGGGAGAUCGGAAUUCCUGGUGUAGCGGUGAAAUGCGCAGAUAUCAGGAGGAACACCGGUGGCGAAGGCGGAUCUCUGGGCCAUUACUGACGCUGAGGAGCGAAAGCGUGGGGAGCGAACAGGAUUAGAUACCCUGGUAGUCC
rnacentral:rRNA from 1 species